GUUUCACCUAUUGUGGACAUGGAUGAAAUCAAUUUAAUCGCUACAGAUUGCCCUGAAGCCUUUUUUAAAGAUUGAUUGUAUCGUUUUCCAUCCAGGGAUCUGGUGCCAAGGAAGGUUGAGCAGAGAGGUCCCAUAUUAUGUAUUUUAUGAAAAUCCAAACAGUUUUUGAGAAGCUAUGUAGCCCUGUUGACUAGGAUGGAGCAAUGCCAACCUACCCUGCAGAAGAACCUGUC